GUCCCUGUAGCGCAAUGGAUAACGCGUUGGACUUCUCAUCCAAAGGAUGAGGGGGAGAAUCCCACCUGGGAUG